rnacentral:rRNA from 1 species
CGAACGCUGGCGGCGUGCUUAACACAUAGCAAGUCGAAACGCGAAAGGGACUUCGGUCCUGAGUAAAGUGGCGCACGGGUGAGUAACGCGUAGAUAACCUGUCUUCAUGUCUGGAAUAAUACGCCGAAAGGGGUACUAAUACCGGAUAUUCUUGCUUUUCAUAAGUUAUGCAAGCAAAGGUGGCCUCUGCAUAUGCUACUGCAUGAAGAGGGGUCUGCGUACCAUUAGCUAGUAGGUGGGGUAAUGGCCUACCUAGGCGACGAUGGUUAGCGGGUCUGAGAGGAUGAUCCGCCACACUGGCACUGGAACACGGGCCAGACUCCUACGGGAGGCAGCAGUGAGGAAUAUUGCGCAAUGGGGGAAACCCUGACGCAGCGACGCCGCGUGAGUGAAGGAAGGCCUUCGGGUCGUAAAGCUCUGUCAAGAGGAAAGAAGUGUACAAUGGCUAAUACCUGUUGUAUUUGACGGUACCUCUAAAGGAAGCACCGGCUAACUCCGUGCCAGCAGCUGC